UUCCUGAUGGUCCAGUGGUUAAGACUCUGCACUUCUACUGCAGCGGCCGCAGGUUUGAUCCUUGGUCAGGGAA
rnacentral:tRNA from 1 species